rnacentral:rRNA from 1 species
GACGAACGCUGGCGGCGUGCCUAAUACAUGCAAGUUGAGCGCUGAAGGUUGGUACUUGUACCAACUGGAUGAGCAGCGAACGGGUGAGUAACGCGUGGGGAAUCUGCCUUUGAGCGGGGGACAACAUUUGGAAACAAAUGCUAAUACCGCAUAAAAACUUUAAACACAAGUUUUAAGUUUGAAAGAUGCAAUUGCAUCACUCAAAGAUGAUCCCGCGUUGUAUUAGCUAGUUGGUGAGGUAAAGGCUCACCAAGGCGAUGAUACAUAGCCGACCUGAGAGGGUGAUCGGUCACAUUGGGACUGAGACACGGCCCAAACUCCUACGGGAGGCAGCAGUAGGGAAUCUUCGGCAAUGGACGAAAGUCUGACCGAGCAACGCCGCGUGAGUGAAGAAGGUUUUCGGAUCGUAAAACUCUGUUGGUAGAGAAGAACGUUGGUGAGAGUGGAAAGCUCAUCAAGUGACGGUAACUACCCAGAAAGGGACGGCUAACUACGUG